AGGGGUGACGGACAGGAAGUGAGGCAGAACCCUCACUUGUUAGAGAGUUGUAAGUGUGGGUAACAGUAGCCCUUGUUAGUAAUCAUUGUUCUUGGACAAGCAAAAUACGGUGGUACAGAGUAUUGAAAUAAACAUGUUUAAUGAAGAUCACGGUUAAAAAUUAUUUAAGGUGCUAGCAUAAAUGCUAACAGGUGUAUAAAUGAGUAUAGCUUGGCCACCUAUCAGUAACAGACGAUUUCCGGCGAAAAUUGUGUGAUUGGCAUAUGCCAACAAAAAGAACCUGUGGCUAGCUAGCACUAAUAUUGCAGCCGCAGGGACCUUUUCGUGCAGUGUAGUGUCUUUACCCUCACUACCAUCUUUGGCAGUGUCGCUGUUCACGUCUGAGGUGUGGAAUCUAAUCUACGAACAUACUGGUGUAAAAAGCAUAUGAAGAACAACACUUGGCUGAGUAUGUCAGAAAGCUAGUGAGUUCAACGGAAGGGAAAAACGGAAAGUCUCCUUAAAGAAGCCGUCUCAUCCUCUGGAAGUUUCACGACUUAUCUUCAAAAAUGGAACUGGUUUGGACACCCCUGCAUUAUAUCGCUGUCGAUAUUGGCCUCUCUGCCUUCACACAGUGACCUCCUGCUGGCCACUGCUUGUUUGUUGCACCUCCACUGGGCUGCAGGCUGAAAUAAAGAUCACACGUGAGUUCAAUGUACACACGCCGUCCACCCACUCGUGUUCCAAACAGGACCGGACUAUCUCGGCUGACCAGCAGCCUGAGAGAAAGGCCUUUGUGCGGUGUGACAGGUGGAGCCGGAAUGUCAAAGGCCUACAUUGUGCGAGGGCGGAGGGGGUAAAGGUGCAGGGGACAUUAUGCAAAUAAAACAUGCAUCUUCACGUUCAAAUAUAGAUUCACAAGCGCUCGUUACAAGCAUCGCCUCCAGUGCACAGUAGCAUGCAUGUUCGUGUUGGAUAAUCACUAUUUUCACACCCACGUGUUGCUCGUCUGAGGCAUUCUGUGGGCGCAUAAAUAUAUACUUUCACCCAAAAAUAAUCAUUACUGGAAGAUAACGUUGCUGUUCAUGUGGCACUUUCCAAUCGACAUAAAUAUAGUUCUUGUGACAAUAUCCUGACAGUGUGCUUCAUUGGACACUAAGUAAAGCUAUCUUGAGUACAGGAGUGAGGGUGGACAACAAUGACACAGCAGCAUAUUUGAAAAGCAAUGUUUGCCUACGUAGGCAAUAUAAUUCCUGCCAUCUGACCUGCACCUCUCAUUGUUUUCUGAUGAUGACACAUUACCACGCUGUGUGCAUAGUCACAUGACAGCACUUUACCCCCUGUCUCGUCUUACAGGACUGUUGUCACAUUAGUGAUUUAAA